UAUAUUCCCACCUUAGUUGUGCCAUCUUAAUUUGUCCUUCUUUGUGCUCUCUCUCUCUCUCUCUCUCUCUCUCUCAAAUUUAAAAAUGUCAGUUGCAAGACAAGCUAAGAACAAGAAGAGGAAAGAACAAAAUGAAGUGCUUACAUGGCAGCAGAAGAAGAUGAUCAUGGAUGAGGAAGAAGAGCUGAUAAAAAGAGAAGUGGAAGAACUUAACACAUGGUCUUGGUUAAUUUAUAGGCUAAUAUGAUCGAAGCUAUGGAUGAUAACCAAUUGAGGGAAUAUAUAAAGAACAGACCAGAAGACAUGCAGACUAGUACUGCGAAAACUGGGAAAGUAGCACCAACCAAAAGAGUACGAAAGAGUACUGGGAAGCCUAAAGGUUCUACUUAUUCCAGAGGACUGUUGGCUGUAGUUAUGAAGUACCAUAAAGAAGAAGAUGAUGAAGAAGCUCCAAAAAAAAAAAAUUAGACUUGAAAGUGUGAAACUUUAUCUAAUUAAUCUAACAGAGAUGAUCCCUGUUACUUUGAUUAAAUCGUCCUAUAAUGGGAUAUAAAAUAUGGCUUAUAUAGUA